UGCCUUCGGGAACUGUGAGACAGGUGCUGCAUGGCUGUCGUCAGCUCGUGUUGUGAAAUGUUGGGUUAAGUCCCGCAACGAGCGCAACCCUUAUCCUUUGUUGCCAGCGGUUAGGCCGGGAACUCAAAGGAGACUGCCAGUGAUAAACUGGAGGAAGGUGGGGAUGACGUCAAGUCAUCAUGGCCCUUACGACCAGGGCUACACACGUGCUACAAUGGCAUAUA
rnacentral:rRNA from 1 species